AAUGCGGACAUGUUUGCAUUUGCUACGAGAGUAAAUGCCAAACACUGAAGGGUUGCAAAGGAUUUGCCUUUAUUAUGCCCCGCUACAGGUCUUAGACGAGGGGAGAGAGAGAGAGAGAGAGAGAGGAAAAAGUAGUUGGUGUGGUUGUACUAAAUAGUAGGGGAGGAGUUGUUGAAGCUAUUUUUGCUUCUCCGUGGCUCUUCUCCGGCUCACAUCGUGGAUUUGUAUAUAACUCCAGGGGUGUUUUCUUUGUUGAUAAGUUUUUUCUGUCUUUGGGCUCAAGACUGGGUGUUCCAGGGUCUUAGAAUUUCUUAUUUCCAUUUUGUUUUCCUGCGUUCUGUCCAAAGAAUCAAAUGGAAAUGUGUUUUGGGAGUAUCUGAGAUCUUUCCCUCGUAAAAAUCCAAUCUUUUGGUUGUAAAAUUUGGAUUCCGGGCUCAUUAACUCUUGGUGGAGGAUAUUUUGUUCGUUUAUUUUAAUGGAUAUUCCAUAAUGUUGGUGUUGAAUUUGAAUUGAGGGAGCCUGCCCAUGAAGGAUGCUAAAGCUGGAAUUUCUCUGAUCGCCGUUAAAGGUGAUAAAGUAAAGGCAUCUCAGCAGUAGACCUAAAGUUUGAAAUGUAUGUGACUGAGACUGAACUUCUGCGGCAAACGAUUUCAUUUUGAAAAGGAAACAGGAAUCCCAUUUGCUUUGCGUUCAAGGUUGAGAGAUUGGCUGUGGGAAGAGAGGUAGAUAGGCAUGCAUAUGUCACUAUGGAAGCCUAUAACCCACUGUGCCGCCAUAAUCAUGGACAAGAAGAGCAGGAGGAGGGAAGGUCCUGGUUUGACGGGAGAAAGGAAGCGAAAUCCCUCAUCGAUUCUUCGGCAAUUGCAGGAGAAUAAGCUCAGAGAGGCUCUUGAGGAAGCAUCUGAGGCCGGUUCCCUUUCGAAAUCCAAAGAUAUUGAUUCCUCGGAGCCUUCCAACCAAGCGGGUGGUGGUCUCGGGCGCUCUAGAUCCCUUGCUCGCCUCCAUGCCCAGAAAGAAUUCUUGCGUGCCACGGCUCUUGCGGCGGAGCGAAGCUUUAGCUCAGUGGAGCUCCUUCCUAGCUUCCGGGAUGCCUUCAACAAGUUCCUUAUGGCGUACCCCAAGUUUCAAUCCACGGAAAAGAUUGACCAGUUGAGGUUGAACGAGUAUGGCCACUUAACAGAAUCGUCCGCAAAGGUAUGCCUUGAUUAUUGUGGCUUUGGCCUCUUAUCUUACCUUCAAACUCAACAAUAUUGGGAGUCAUCGGCAUUUACUUUGUCGGAGAUAACUGCGAAUCUGAGCAACCAUGCCCUUUAUGGAGGUGCAGAGAAAGGUACCGUAGAAGACGAUAUUAAGUGUAGGAUUAUGGACUAUUUGAACAUCCCUGAAAAUGAAUAUGGACUUGUUUUUACUGUUAGUAGAGGUUGUGCGUUUAAGUUGCUUGCUGAGUCUUACCCUUUCCAAACAAACAAGAAGUUGUUGACCAUGUUUGAUCAUGAGAGCCAGUCCGUGAAUUGGAUGGCUCAGAGUGCCAAGGAGAAAGGUGCUAAGGUUUCAAGUGCUUGGUUUAAAUGGCCUUCCAUGAAACUCAGCUCCAGGGAGCUUAGGAAAAAAAUUGCGAAUAAGAAGAGGAGGAAGAAGGAUUCUGCAGCUGGGCUUUUUGUAUUUCCUGUACAGUCAAGGGUUACUGGGGCCAAGUAUUCCUACCAGUGGAUGGCACUUGCUCAGCAAAACAAUUGGCAUGUAUUGCUUGAUGCUGGUUCAUUGGGUCCUAAGGACAUGGAUUCUCUUGGGUUGUCCCUCUUCCGGCCAGAUUUUAUCAUCACCUCGUUCUACAGGGUAUUUGGCUCUGACCCAACUGGAUUUGGAUGCCUUCUGAUAAAAAAAUCUGUGAUGGGAAGCCUGCAAAACCCAUCCGGGCAUACUGGGUCAGGAAUGGUGAGGAUUCUCCCGGUUUUUCCUCAUUACCUUAGCGAUUCUGUGGACGGCCUUGAUGUUUUGGCCGGAAUUGAAGAUGAUGCAUUAAAUGGAAAAGAAGAAUCAAUGCCUGAGACACAUGGGGGGCCACAGAUGCCUGCCUUUUCAGGUGUAUUCACUUCCAAUCAGGUAAGGGAUGUCUUUGAGACAGAGAUGGAACAAGAUAACAGCUCGGACAGGGAUGGGGCUAGCACCAUUUUUGAGGAGGCUGAGAGCAUUUCAGUUGGUGAGGUUAUGAAAAGUCCAGUUUUCAGUGAGGAUGAAUCGUCGAACUAUUCAUACUGGAUUGAUUUGGGUCAGAGUCCAUUCGGCUCUGAUGGUUCUGGCCAAUUGACAAAACAGAAAGCAGGGUCACCCUUGCUGCCAUCGUGGUUUUCUGGCACAAGAAGCAACAAGCAAAUCUCUCCAAAACCAACUUCAAAAACAUUAAAGAGCCCAAUAUAUGAUGACAGGAGGGUAAACCUCAAACUGCAUGAGGAUCCUAUGUUGUCCUUUGAUGCAGCUGUUUUAUCAAUGUCUCAGGAGCUUGACCGUAUCAAGGAGAUUUCUGAAGAAGAGCAGUUUUCUGUAGCCGAUGCCUCUGAAAGUAGUAAAUUUUAUGCAGAGACUCGGCAAGUUGAGAUCCAAGAGCCUGAAAUUAUAGAAGAUCUGGUUCAGAGUGAUACUAAGUUGAGAUCUAUUGCAAAUGGAUCCAGAUUGAAGAACCAGAACUGCAGCAAUUGGCAUGAUAAUCGUGAGAAUUCCUCGACCUCCAAAAUAUGUCAAGAUAUGAAAGACAGCGCAAUAAGAAGAGAGACAGAAGGAGAGUAUAGACUGCUUGGAAGGAGGGAGGGGGACCGAUUUGCUGGUGGUAGAUUCUUUUGUCUAGAAGACGGGGACCGGGUUGCAAGCAUGGGUCAUAGGGUGUCUUUUAGCAUAGAAGACAACCACAAAGAAGGUCCGAGCCACUUGUUUGAGUCUGGAGAAGUAUCUGGGCCUACCCUUGUUGAUGAUGAUUCUGUCAGUGAUGGAGAAUAUGGUGAUGAGCAAGUGUGGGGAAGGAGGGAGCCCGAGAUAAGUUGUCGGCAUCUUGACCAUGUUAAUAUGCUGGGUUUGAAUAAAACUACACUCAGGCUACGGUAUCUAAUCAAUUGGCUUGUUACCUCAUUACUUCAACUUCGGUUACCUGGCUCAGAUGAAGGAAAAGGAGAGCCUCUUGUGCAAAUAUAUGGCCCUAAGAUUAAAUAUGAAAGGGGUGCGGCUGUAGCUUUCAAUGUGAGAGAGAGCAGUGGAAGAGGGCUUGUUCACCCAGAAAUUGUCCAGAAGUUGGCCGAGAAAAAUGGAAUUUCUAUUGGCAUUGGUAUCCUUAGUCACGUUCGAAGAGUGGACAAUCCAAAACAGCCUUGUGGAUCUGACCUUGAGGAUACAGACUUGUGCAAACCAAUGGCUAAUGGCUGCCAAGAUGGUAAAAAUGUGUUUUUCAGAGUUGAGGUUGUUACUGCAUCUCUCAGUUUUCUUACAAACUUCGAAGAUGUUUAUAAGAUGUGGGCUUUUGUGGCCAAGUUUCUUAAUCCGUCAUUUGCUGAAGGUGGUGAAUUAUCUCCAGUCCCAGAAAGUCCGGAAACUUAGGACUGGGAGCUUGUAUCCAUGUUUUAGUUUUAUGUUCGAAAGCCCGCCAGUGCCUUUAGCUAUGCAGGAGAGAACAUGCUGGAGCUUGAACUUUCUGAGCUGAAAUCUGAGACAGGGAAAUAGGAGAUGUUGAACCAAAGAGGAUAGGUUGUGAAGAAUUUUUCUCCCGUAGUCUAGCAUAGGGCAGAUUAAGGUGUAAGAUGCUUCUGUGGAAUGAGUAGCUUUCAAAAUAUUUCGUCUGGGAACAGAACAAGUGCAUUCAUCUGCAAACGGGUAGGUUUGGCUAUUUGGUCCAUUCAGAAACAAGUAGUUAGAGAAUGACAGGUGGGCUAGAGCAAAGAGAAACCAUUCAAGUUCCUUGAAAUUUGAAAAGGAAAUACCGCUGACAUAUGGAUCAUAAGCUAUUAAGAUUCCCUUUUAGAUACAGCACACAGCCAGACUAGACUUGAUCUCUUAAGAAAUAUGGAAGGGCCGAAAGUGGGGUUUGAAACUUGGUUGGACCUCGGCAAAGGAGACUGGUUCUGGCUUCCAAGGGAACUUGGCUAAUUUCCUACAAAGAUGGACAAAAAACACAAGGCUUGUUUUACAUUGCGAAUCUAUCGUUACUGCUGCCUUUGUUAUGCUUUUACCUCUUAGUAAACACGUAAAAUACAAUUGCUAACAAAUGAGCUUCAUGUCUUUUUUUCUUUUCCUUGGCUUUAUGAACUUCUUGUCUGUUUUUGUAGAAAAUAAGACUUCAAGAACUGUAACUUUUUGGGUACUCUCACUGAGAAUUUUGUAUAUUUAAGUUGGCUUUGGCUUA